UCGGGAAUUUUGGGCAAUGGGCGAAAGCCUGACCCAGCAACGCCGCGUGAAGGAUGAAAUCUUUCGGGAUGUAAACUUCGGAAGAAUAGGAAGAAUAAAAUGACGGUACUAUUUUUAAGGUCCGACUAACUACGUGCCAGCAGCCGCGGUAAUACGUAGGGACCAAGCGUUGUUCGGAUUUACUGGGCGUAAAGGGCGCGUAGGCGGCGUAAUAAGUCACUUGUGAAAUCUCCGGGCUUAACUCGGAGCGGCCAAGUGAUACUGUUAGGCUAGAGUGCAGAAAGGGCAAUCGGAAUUCUUGGUGUAGCGGUGAAAUGCGUAGAUAUCAAGAGGAACACCUGAGGUGAAGACGGGUUGCUGGGCUGACACUGACGCUGAGGCGCGAAAGCCAGGGGAGCAAACGGGAUUAGAUACCCAUGUAGUCCCUGAGCGGGCUGGCAAGGCGCAU
rnacentral:rRNA from 1 species